GUACGAACCGCGUGGCGCGUGCCUAACACAUGCAAGUCGAACGGAGCGAGAGUCCCUUACGGGGGUUUGCUUAGUGGCGAACAGGUGAGUAACGCGUGAGGAACCUGCCUUUCAGUGGGGGACAACAGUUGGAAACGACUGCUAAUACCGCAUAAUGCUUUUGAGCGGCAUCGCUUGAAAGCCAAAGAUUUAUCGCUGAAAGAUGGUCUCGCGUCUGAUUAGCUAGUUGGUGAGGUAACGGCUCACCAAGGCGACGAUCAGUAGCCGGUCUGAGAGGAUGAACGGCCACAUUGGGACUGAGAUACGGCCCAG
rnacentral:rRNA from 1 species